rnacentral:tRNA from 1 species
GGGAAGGUGGCUCAGUGGUAGAGUGCUUGCCUUGCAAUGCAUGAGGCCAGGGUUCGAUACCUCUGUACCA